GGAGCCACGCCGCGUGAGUGAUGAAGGCUUUCGGGCUCGUAAAACUCUGUUGUUAGGGAAGAACAAGUGCUAGUUGAAUAAGCUGGCACCUUGACGGUACCUAACCAGAAAGCCACGGCUAACUACGUGCCAGCAGCCGCGGUAAUACGUAGGUGGCAAGCGUUAUCCGGAAUUAUUGGGCGUAAAGCGCGCGCAGGUGGUUUCUUAAGUCUGAUGUGAAAGCCCACGGCUCAACCGUGGAGGGUCAUUGGAAACUGGGAGACUUGAGUGCAGAAGAGGAAAGUGGAAUUCCAUGUGUAGCGGUGAAAUGCGUAGAGAUAUGGAGGAACACCAGUGGCGAAGGCGACUUUCUGGUCUGUAACUGACACUGAGGCGCGAAAGCGUGGGGAGCAAACAGGAUUAGAUACCCUGGUAGUCCACGCCGUAAACGAUGAGUGCUAAGUGUUAGAGGGUUUCCGCCCUUUAGUGCUGAAGUUAACGCAUUAAGCACUCCGCCUGGGGAGUACGGCCGCAAGGCUGAAACUAAGGGGAAAUUGACGG
rnacentral:rRNA from 1 species